AGAAGCCCUCCCUCUACCCUAAGCUCGUGCGUCACGACGCCGCCAGCUGAUCGGAGCCUGGAGCCGGUGUGUGCUGGGUGCCGAGAAGAGACAGCGCCGCCGGCCGUGGGGAGCGGACGCAGUGAUUUGCUCCCCCUCGUGCAGCAACCCCCACACCCAGCACCAGGCCCCCAGAACUCUCCUUCCAGCUGAACUCCCUGGGAACAAGUCAGUUGGGCUGAUCACUGAACUCACAUUUCUGGACCUGAGGUACCACACUUCUAGUACCUGCGUGCUGGUGGGGUGUGUCCAGGGUCCCGGGCCCCACCCUGUCUGAAUGCUGAGGAGGCUGGGCCCCCAGGGGCCGCUAGGGCAGGGGAGGGUGAGAGCAGGACUGGGUUUCUCUAGACUCCAGUUCUGGAAAGAAGAGCAAGGGAAGUCUGUUUACAGCCACCUCUUGCUGCUCAGCGAGGUUAACAGCUUCCGCGGGCCCAGAUCAGAGCUGCAGCCCUGCAUUAGAAUCUCAGAGGUCUACUGGGGCAGGACCCUGAUGGCCAGCGAGUGGGUCAGCGUUGCAGCAACAUGCCCUGCUCAGAUCUUUCCCAUUUUCCCUCCCUUUCCCUUAGGAGCCUGUUCCUCUCACGCCCUCACCUGGCUGAGCCGCAGUAGUUCUUCAGUGGCAAGCUUUAUGUCCUGACCCAGCUAAAGCUGCCAGUUGAAGAACUGUUGCCCUCUGCCCCUGGCUUCGAGGAGGAGGAGGAGCUGCUUUCCCCAUCAUCUGGAAGGUGACAGAAAUGGGCUGGGAAGGUCCGAACAGCAGGGUGGAUGAUACGUUUUGGGCAAGUUGGAGAGCCUUUGCCCAGAUUGGCCCAGCAAGGAGCGGUUUUAGAUUAGAGACACUGGCUGGAUUGAGGAGUAGAAGGCUCAAACAACCCAAGGUUAGUUGGUCUUUGUGUGACAGUGGGAAGAAGUGGAGAGAACACUCUGUCUCCCCGACUUCCUUCUUGACCCUCCUUCCGUAUCUUUCAUUCUUCCCCACUGGCCUUUCCAGAUGAGGUCCAAAAGUAAGCUCACUCUUCAGGGAAAAGUGAUACUAAACCCAGGCGUGAGGAGUCAUCCUUCUGCUCUUACUUUUCCCUGCAUUUCCUUAGGCUGGCCCAGACUCUAGAUUCCUGGGCACUUACCUGUAUCUGAGACCCUUAGACCUCCUGUCUCAGUUUCUCCACCUGUGAGAUGGGCAGUCACACAGAUGAGUGUGCAUGAGGGAAUCAGAAGCCCAUCUGGGUUGACUCAGAACCCGGGCUCUCCCCCUGCUGUGGGUGGAAACAAAACACCUUUUCACAGAAGCUGUUGUCCCUCCCCCAUCCCUGAUACCAUCACCCAGAAGCUGGGUGGGGAAUGGGAAGCUGGAGGAGGGGGUUAGAGUUAGACCAAUGCGAGGAGCUAGUAAGAGCUCGCCUCUCCGUGACUUCCCCCCAUGCAAGGGUGGCCCAAGGCUUCCCCUGAUAUCCAAAGCAGGACAGCAGCCCCUUGGUGGGAUUCUAACUGCUGCUACUCUGUUUCUUUCCUCACUUUGCUUUCCAAGGUGGUAUGUGAUCCCCAGCUCAGGCCUGUGCAGACAGGAAAUUCUCCCCUGCAGCAAGUAGGGGAGGUGGGUUGUGGGAUGUGACCUCCUUCCAGAUAUCAGGCAGUGAGUGUAAACCUGCCACCUCCAGCCCUGAUCCAUUCUCACCUAGCGGCUACAGGAAGCUGUGUCUGUUCGAUUUGGUGGGAGGAGAUGUGCAGGGAGCUGUAUCUUGUCCUCCGCUUGUGAAAAACUCAAGGAUGUGGAGAAGAGUAGACCGUGGAACCCUGCUCUUCUGCAGCCAAGCUGAGGGGCAGGAUGCGUGUGGGACAGUGGUAGAGAAGCAGGGGAUAGACUCAUAGGCUGCAACAAAGGUGACUCUGUCCCUGGACACUGCCUCCGUACUUUCUCCUUGCUUCACUGGCCACAGCAUCUCCCUCCAGCCCUCGCUAUGUGCCUCUGCCAUCUUCACCCAUCAUGGAGCAGAGGUGAGGAGAGGCAGCCUGGGAAUAUGGAGACCAGUGAAGGACCAGGCCUGGAGAGCACAGGGUCCUACCUGGGCAUCCAGCAGAGGAGCCCCUAAAGGCCAGGAGCACCCCAAGAGGAGGGAGGGCAGCCAGCCUCCAUUGACGGCGAGCCUCCAGCCCUCUCCUACUUUGAUCACCAUUUCUCUCCAGGCUUUCUGCCUCCGAGAUGUGGCACCAUAGUGCGGUGCCCUGUGGCUUCACCGCCCUACUUCCACCUCCGCCCAGCCUGUAAUGUUUAUAUAAGCAGCCUCAAGGACCAAGAACCAUCUGCGAAAGGACACACACAGGAAAUUCAUAAAAGAAAUCUGAAUGGAUAAAACCAUGAAAAAAAGUAUGCUUCAUUAGUAAUUAAAGAAAGGCAAAUAGAGCUGGAAGCAUUUUUCCCUUAGCAAACCAUAACAGAAAAAAAUAAGACCCAAUAUUGGCAAAGAGACUACUGAAAAAACAUUCCCAUACAUUGCGUGUGGGAGUAUACAUCGGUGCAGGCUUCCUGGAUGACAGUUGGGUGAUAUGUGUCAUGUGGCCUAAAAGCCUCCAUGUCAUUUGACCUACGAAUUCUAUCUUUGGGAAUUUAUCCUAAGAAAAUACUUAAGGAUUUAGUUAGUGAUAAGAUGUUCAUCCCAGCAUUGCAAUGGAGAAAAAUGGGAAGCAAUGGUUUGGUUGGGAAUUUAUUCCUUUUCUGCUGUAACGAAAGUUUGCAAUAGGGGAUUGCUUAAGUAAAUUAUUGUAUCUCCAUCCAGAUGGUGGAGUACCGCGCAGACAUUAAAAGUCAUGUAAAAGAACAUCUGACUGAAAGAAAAAUGCUCCUUGAAUAUUAAAAGGUUGUAAAAAUAGUGCAUGUUAUGUGAUUUCAAUUUUGUUUUUUAAAAUAUGGGUGUAUGCUUGUAUACGUAGAGCAGAUAAAAAAGACGGAAGGCAUACUAAAAAAUGUUGAGUGGUUAUCUUUGUAUGGUGGAACAAAGUCACUGUAAUUUUCAUCUUUGGUUUUUCUGUAAUUUCCAAAUUUUCCACAUUUUGUAUUUCAUAUAAUAUAAUUUAAGA
rnacentral:lncRNA from 1 species